GUCCUACGGGGGGCAGCAGUAGGGAAUCUUCCACAAUGGGCGAAAGCCUGAUGGAGCAACGCCGCGUUGGUGAAGAAGGUCUUCGGAUCGUAAAACCCUGUUGUUAGAGAAGAGAGUGCGUGAGAGUAACUGUUCACGUUUCGACGGUAUCUAACCAGAAAGCCACGGCUAACUACGUGCCAGCAGCCGCGGUAAUACGUAGGUGGCAAGCGUUAUCCGGAUUUAUUGGGCGUAAAGGGAACGCAGGCGGUCUUUUAAGGCUGAUGUGAAAGCCUUCGGCUUAACCGGAGUAGUGCAUUGGAAAC
rnacentral:rRNA from 1 species